AACCUGGAACUCCCAACUUCCAAUCUGGUAACAUAUUUUGGUGAGCCAGCCAGGAGGGGUCAAGCCUGCAAUACCUAAAGCUCCAGACCUGGAACCCAAAGCUCCCAUCAGUCGCUACCCUGUGAACCUGUGGAGGAUCUGAAGUACCUGUUUAAAAGGCAUCCAAAAGAUAGAAUCUAUCAAGCUACAAAUGGCUAUGUUGCCUGAAGCCCCAGACAUCAUCCUACAAGAAAUAAGUCCAGACUUCUUAAUUUCCCCCUGGAUAGAGCAGGGUAAGAGUUCUGUGGUCCCCUGUUAGGUGGGGCCAGCAGUCCCACUCAGCUGGAAGCAAGUAUAGAAGAAAGAACUUCAACCCUCAGCAACCUAUUAUGAUUUAUGGGGAUCACAUCUCUCAGAGGGAAUUGAGGCAGGAGAAUAGGGAAGGAAGUCAGAAAAUCAACCUGCAGCCUUUUCUCACCAAAACAAGCAUAAGGCACCAUCUGAUAAGGAAGCUGAAGCAAUGAACCAAUGCUUUCUGCAGUAAACAAAUCUGGUAUAACCUUUUAUUAUAAUAAGUUACUUAAAGCCCAUACAUAUGGAAUGCAUAUCAUACAUACACUUAAAAUUAUGGAAUGGCAAGCACAUGCAGGCGCACUGAGAGAGAAAACCAACAAGAAAACUGAUAUGUCAAUUAUAGGCAACCUCCUCCCUAAAAGUUAAGUAAGAGUAGUAAGGUGGUAUAAAAGAACAAAGGCUAUGUUAACCCAGGGCUGAUACCACUCGCGGAUCAGCCCAUUCUUCUCUCUGGAACAUUCUUUGCUUAAUACAUCUUGUGGGGUCAUUAUUUGUGUGUCUCCUCCAAUUCUUUGUUUGCAACACCAAGAACCUGGAAAUCCAACUUCCAAUCUGGUAACACUUCUACUCUAAAAAUGUGCUUACUCUUUGUAUAGCAUGUAACUGCUCUAUUGGUUGUACCCAUUCAUAUAUUAAUGUUUCCACUUUUUAUGCCUCCUCUGUUUUUCUCAUGCCUUAAUGAGCUGUUUUAUGGAAUUUCUAGGAGGCAAUGAGUUGAGUUCUAUAGAUGACUUUUGUACAUCUUGCACAUGUACAAUUUAACACUUUUUUGUGAACAACAGAUAUCUUUUUUGAAAAGAGGUAGUCAUAGAUUAAUAUCAUAGCAAAAUGGCUGUGCAACGGCCAUCCAGUCAAGAUUACUCUUUAGCUUCCCUUUGCCCCAAGCACAUACCAAUUAGAAAAUGUAAAAAUAAAACCCAAAAAAGAAAUGCAAAAAGGUGAGUAGGAUGAAAGCCAUUAGUGAGCUUUGUUCCAAGUGACAUGGAAGACCAGAGUCAAGGUCACUGCUGAACUUCAAGGCCUGAGGUCAGGGUCCCUGGAUGUUUUAGGCAGUUCUCACAUUGCUAUAAAGAAAUACCUGAGACUGGGUAAUUUAAAAAGAAAAGAGGUUCAACUGACUUACUAGCAAACUGAAUUCAACAACACAUUUAAAAGAUCAUUACGACCAAAUGGGAUUUACCCCAGGGAUGCAAGGAUGGUUCAACAUAUGCAAAUCAAUGUGAUACAUCACAUUAACAGAAUGAAGGACAAAAACUAUAUGAUUAUUUCAGUUGAUGCUGAAAAAGCACUUGAUAAAAUUCAAUAUCCCUUCAUGGAAACCCUCAAAGGGCCAGGCACAGUGGCUCACACCUGUAAUCCCAGCACUUUGGUAGGCUGAGGUGGGCAGAUUGCUUGAGCCCAAGAGUUGGAGACCAGCCUGCACAACAAGGUGAAAUCCCAUCUCUACAAAAAAAUACAAAAGUUAGCCAGGUGUGAUGGUACACACCUGUAGUCCCAGCUACUUGGGAAGCCGAGAUGAGAGGAUUGCUUCAGGUCAGGAGGUCAAGGCUUCAGUGAAGAGAUCACACCACUGCAUUCCAGCCUGGGCAACAAAGUGAGACCCUUUCUCAAAAAAGAAUCUCAAAAAACUGGGUAUAGAAGGAACUACCUUUACAUAAUAAAAGCCACAGCUUGUAUCAUACUAAAAGAGAGAAAAAACCUUUCCUGUAAGAUCUAGAACAUGACAAGGAUGCCCUCUUUCACCACUGUUGUUCAACAUAGUGCUGGAAGUCUUAGCUAGAGAAUUUCAGAGAAGAGAACAAAAUAAAGAGCAUUCAAAUCGGAAAUGAAGAGGUCAAAUUAUCCUUGUUUGCAGAUGAUAUGAUCUUAUAUUUGGAAAAACCUAAAGACUCCACCAAAAAAGUAUUAGAACUGAUAAAUUCAGUAAAGCUGUGUGAUACAAAAUCAACUUAUGAAAAUCAGUAGCAUUUCCACAUGCCAACAGUGAACAAUCUAAAAAAGAAUUUUAAAAGUUAUCCCACUUACAAUAGCUACAAAUAAAAUUAGAUACCUAGGAAUUACCUUAAUUAAAGAAGUGAAAGAUUGCUACAAUUCAAAACUAUAAAACAUGUGAUGAAAGAAAUUGAAGAGGACACACAAAAAUGGAAGGAUAUUCCAUGUUCAUGAAUUGGAAGAAUAAAUAUUGUUAAAAUGUCCAUAAUACUUAAAGUAAUCUAAAAUUCAGCCCCUGAUAUUCAACGUGGGUCCUUUUCUAUUUUCCCUAAGUGAUGGCCAGUCUGAGAAAUAAAGGGAAAGAGUACAAAAGAGAGAAAUUUUAAAGCUGGGUGUCCAGGGGAGACAUCACAUGUCGGCAGUUUCCAUGAUGCCCCCCAAGCUGCAAAACCAGCAAGUUUUUAUUAGUGAUUUCCAAAGGGGAGGGAGUGUACAAAUAGGGUGUGGGUCACAGAGAUCUCAUGCUUCACAAGGUAAUAAAAUAUUACAAGGCAAAUGGAGGCAGGGUGAGAUCACAGGACUGGGGUGAAAUUAAAAUUGCUAAUGAAGUUUCGGGCAUGCAUUGUCAUUGAUAACAUCUUAUCAGGAGACAGGGUUUGAGAGCAGACAACCGGUCUGAUCAAAAUUUAUUAGGUGGGAAUUUC
rnacentral:lncRNA from 10 species